UACGUAGGAGACAAACGUUAUCCGGAGUUACUGGGCGUAAAGGGCGUGUAGGUGGUUGCGUAAGUCUGGCGUGAAAUAUCUCGGCUUAACCGAGGCAGGUCGUCGGAUACUGCGUAACUGGAGGACGGUAGAGGCGUGUGGAAUUCCGGGUGUAGUGGUGAAAUGCGUAGAGAUCCGGAGGAACACCAGUGGCGAAGGCGACACGCUGGGCCGUACCUGACACUGAUGCGCGACAGCAUGGGGAGCAAACAGG
rnacentral:rRNA from 1 species